UGAAGAAUGUAGUAGAGAAGAAAUUUAUUUCUUCGUAUUGUUGUCAAGCUGCAUAUCUUCAUAAUUUCCAAAUAUAUGAAAGUUAAAUAAAGAAAAUGAAUUCCUUAAGAAUGAGGCAUUUAUUUGGACCUAUUUCUACAUUAUCUGAGUAGGGAAAUGCCUUUGUGCUUUGGAUGACUUUCACUGCUAAAUAUCCGGAAUGUAUGUGUUUGGGAGGGAGGGGUGAGAAAGAAAGGACUCUUGUUAGUUUUCAGUUUUUGAAGAACUUCCAAUAAUAUCGAUUAUGGUAUUCUCCACAUACAGAACUGGAACAGUAGAAUAGUUUUACAAUGUCUCAAGGUUUUAAGGGAGAAGAGGCCCAAAAUGUGAUGUUGCUGCUAUCCCAAGAUGUGUAACCUGAAGGCUGUAUUUAGCUGGCAUUACUGCCCAUGAUUUACACUUGUUUUCCUAAUACAUUAAAACUUGAGUGACUAGUUUCUUAUUCAUUAUUUCAUGUAGGAUAUUUAAUUGGAUACCUAAAAGUUCCAUUUGGUUCCUUAGGCAUUAAUUUUUAUAUUAUGUCACUAGAAAUUUAUUCAUUUAAUAAAAUUUAUAUGGCCUUUCAGCUUACUCUCAAUGACUGGGCAUCUUACAGAUAAAACAUAAAAUAAAAAACAAUACAAUGUUGCGAAGCUGCAAACCACCUUGCCUGAAUUGAGAAACUGCCUCAAAUGAAACUGCCUUUUGCUUCCUCCGGAGCUAAAGUAGAGAGCUUCUUACAGGGAAGAUUUCUCUGUCUUCUAUUUUUCUUUCACAGCAGAAUAAAAAAGCCUCUUCCUGUGAAGGCUUUUCCAGUUCUUUAUUCUGAUUUUCUUCUGGAGCAAAAGAAAGCCCUUUCUAGUGAAGCAGUUCCACUGGUUAAUUGUUCUCCGUGUCAGGAAGUUUCUUCUUAGUUUUAGGUUGCUUCUCUCUUUGUUCAUUCAUUCAGUUUCCAUUCAUUGCUUCUUGUUUUGCCUUCUGGUGCUUUGGAAAAUAUAUUGCCCCCCCUUCUUUCUGGCAGCCCCUUAAAAGCCUGUUGCCUAUCACACUCUUGGGCAAAGUAUGUGAGCCAUUUCCUCCUUUCAGUGGUCCAUGAAAGUGCAUCUAUAAUAUGUAGAUAAUAAAGUUGAAAAAAGAUGAACAACAUUUUUACAGAACUAUAAUUACAUUGAGGCUGGUUGUGACAAGGAAUGGCUGGGAGGGGCCAGGUGAUGCACCAAUUGAUGUGAGUGUCAUUGAGUUGGCCACGUCCACCUGUUCACAUGACCACCAAGCCACGCCCACCAAGCCACACACACAGAAACGGUAGGGAAAAUUUUUAGAUUUCACCACUGGAUUUAACCAUGGCAUAUUUGACUGAUCGAUUGUUGGAGGAGGAGCAGAAACGGCUGGAGAGGCGACCAGAGAGAAUGCUCAGAGAAUGCUCAGCACAGACCAGCAUCUGCAACAGUCCAGGAUGCUGGCAGAGCAGCUGAGACAGUUUACACAGUGAAGAGGUCAGGAGUGAAAUCCAGCAGGUUCUGACAGGUUCUGGAGAACUGGUAGCGGAAAUUUUGAGCAGUUCAGAGAACUGGCAAAUACCACCUCUGGGUGGCCCCAGAGUGGGGUGGGAAUGGAGAUUUUGCAGUAUCCUUCCCCUGCUACACCCACCAAGCCAUGCCCACCACGCCACACCAUGCCUGCCACGCCACGCCACGCCACGCCCACAGAACUGGUAGUAAAAAAAUUUGGAUUUCACACCUGGAAGAGAUGCUACAUGUAUGGUUCUACAGAGCAUCUCCAGAGAUGCUGCCCUGGGAGGAGAAACAGAGAAGCAGUGAGACACAUGAGGAGUGGUUCUCCAGCAUUGUUUUCCCUGGCAGCAACAGCAUCUGAAAACACCAGGAUUACUUGAUUGUUGGACAGUGGGGCAAGCCAGCAUAUCGCUAAUAAUCCACAAGCGUUUUCUGAUUCAAAACCAACUAUGCAAACGUGUUAGACUGGCUAAUGGUCAAAAAGCUGCUGCAAAAGGGGAAGGUAACAUGUAUGUCCUGAGAUAGGAGAAACAUUGCACAAUGUCCUAUAUGUACCUGCAUUAGAUCAUAAUCUGUUAAGCGUAUCCAGGUUAGACAGGCAGAAUUACGAAAUACUGUUUUCAGGAGGGCAGUAGUUCAUUAGGAAAGGUGGAAGGAUAAGUGCACAAGGGGUUAGGAAGAAUGGCCUGUAUGUUCUAGAAAGGCAGGAGAAUAGUUGUGCACGAACUAAUACAAAUGCUCCCACACAUGACAAUUGUGUGCAUUUGUUGCGUAGGGGGAUGGAGCAUGCAAGAGUUAGAGGGUUGCAGAAGAUGCCAGACCUAGUUAGGUGGCAUAAGCCACAGCAAAAGCCAAAGCAGUGCAAGAUGUAUGUAGAGUGCAUUGUUUGUAAGGAGGAAAAAUACAGGGUGUAUCCUGGGAGUAAGGAAAACCCAAGGCAAACAAACAGAGGUAUAUAUAGACCUGAAGGGUAUAAUAAAGGGUUAACUCCUGAGUGGUUCACUGCAAGUGAGGUUAGAGUAGAUAGUGUUAGAAAUAAACUCCAUAAUUACAAAGAGAUAUGGUCAUGGUCAUUGCCUAAGGAACAACACGAUAAAUGGAGGAAGCCGAAGUUAAAAGAAAAUGACAGGCAGGCAGAUAAACCAAAUUGAGGAGAUUGAGCUAGUGAAAAGAGAAAGUAACAGUAUCCUGCCAAGAGAUGGUAAACAGGAUGUAAUGGAGAUUAAUGAGACAGAGUGUACAGAGUCAGUAAUGACCAUAGGAGUAGUUCCAGCAGCUAUAGUAGGAACUGAAGCUGGAGGCAAGGCCAUAAUGGAAACAGAAAGCAUUGUGAGUAUGUUAAAGCAUUCAGCUGUUUAAUUUUAAAUGGGAGAAGUGUCAGGGUAAUGAUAAUUUAAAGCUAACCAGCCCUUUAAGACUUGAGGAUGAGUCAGCAAGGUUACUUCCCUUUAAGAAGCUGCCUAUAAAAGGUAGUCUCUCUCUCUCAUUCUCUCUCUCUCUCUCCCUCCCCAUGUUCUAUCUCCAUUGUAGUUCUCUAUGUCUAUCAAUGUGUGCCUCCUGUUAUAGUUGAAGAUAGAUAGAUUGAUUGAUUGCCUGGCUUUACUUAGCACUUGUAUGUAUAUAUAUAUAACUUGUAGAUAAACCACUGUUUGAAAAACCUCUAUGUACUGUAUUUUGCUUCUGGGUUGUCUCAAAAUAGUAGUGCACACUCUGACACACACUCCUCUCUGGUCCUGUGGUCUAGGUCGGUGCCAUACUCAAUAAGCUGCUAGGCACAUUUCUAGGAAUGUCUGAAGAAAGUCAAGUCAACUGAUUCUAAAAGCAAUGAUAAUCAUCCUGAAAUUAUAUGCAGUUGUUGAUCAUCAGAUUACUAUUAUCUGAAGGCAGCAAUAAAAAUGAAUGAACCACAGGACCAUGAGGCCUAUAUUUUGGUUCUUGUAAUCAGGAUAAUCCAGAAUUCAAUCAAGAAGACUCUGCUUGAACUUUUUGAGAAAUAGGGUUAGGCUGGAAAAUAUUGCGUUCAUUCAGGAAAUAUUGGAUGUAAACAUCAGCAAAAAUUGAAGAGGGAUGAAGAGAGAUGGGGAGGGGAGAAGCAGAGGAUAUUUAAUACCUUUCUUAACCUGUUGUUCUUCAUUGGUUGUUUUAUCAGUAAUCUUGCCAUUGUAUUCCGAUUUGCUGCUUCCAAAUUAUCUCCAAGUGUGCUCCCCCCCAAUAAUGUGUUGCAGUAGUGUAAUAUAAAAAAAUUAGACACUGUAAAAAAUAUAAAAGCCAUAGGCAAUCUUGUGAAUAUUAUUGGGAGAGAAUAGAAAGGGAAAUGGGACAUUGCAACAUAGGUUGCUGAGUAAGGAAAUAGUCUACAUCUUAAACAACUAAAUAUAUAGAUUAUGGAGAUUUUCAGCGUGAUAGGAAUGAGGGAUGAGUGGGAAUAUAACCUUUUCUGUGAUGAAUAUGAGACCAAAGAAUUAUCUUGACUGUCUAGUUGUGUUUUUAUUCCUGCUUUGAAAACAUGCAUAAGAAAACAAGAUUUUUCCCCCCCAUAACAUUUGAUUUGCUGAUAUUUUAAUAACAUUAUGGAGACAGUUAAUAACAGAUACCAAAUCUGAGCAAUGAAAAAGAGAUUUGGCAAAUGCAUGCAAGCCAAAAAAAUCAUAACUAGUACCUAUCAUGGUCAGUGAAUCUAUAUAAGCAGAGGUGGGAUUCUACCGGUUCACACUGGUUCGCUAGAACUAGUUGUUAACUUUCUAAGCAGUUUGGAAAACCGGUUGUUAGAAGAAAUCUCCUUUUGUUUUUUUCCACUUUACGAGGUUAAUCCUGUAAGGAAUUACAACAUUCUGGUGUUGUUUCUAGCCUAAUCUUUAUUGCCCUGCUUAUUGAAACUGCCUCUCCUUUAACCCUUGUUACAUUCUUGGCAGACUUACUGUCACCUGAGCUUCUCUGGAGUUUUUUUUUUUCUUUCUUUGCUUAACUUUCUUAAAGGUGAAGGGUUGUUUUAAGCUUUAUACACUGCUGUUGGGAGGAAAUACUCCCCUGCUGGAGUUCUUCCAGCCGGGAUGCAAUGAUCAGCACUUCGAAGAAAUAAUUGAAUAACGAAGCAGAGCUGCCGGAAAGAAGCUUUUAAUGACAAGGAACCAAGAUGAGUGACAUUCAGCAAGGCUUCUUGGCUAGCUAGAAAGAUUGACAUUUAAACACAUUUACCUACCAGCAGAGAACCUGGGCUAAGUAUGAGAUACUGAAUCUCCAAGGACGUAAUAGUUUUUCCUUACUUUUCUGGCAGAUACAUUAAAAGGUGGACUCCUGGUAGAGGGGCUGCCUGUCAAGCCGCGUCCGCAAUGUCCGCUGUUCAACACACGAACCACGACGAAUGGGGAUUCAGGCGGGCAGCACACAAACCUAAUAUGAUGGGGAUUAGGGUGGGAGGCAUGGAGAAUGGCAAGGGUACAUGGGUGUUGGUAAAAACCGGGAUACGAAUGGUGAUGGUGGCACUGGGUGACAAGCAGCUGACGUCGCUGGCGGCGAUCGGAGAGAGACAAUGCAAGAAGAUGACGCAGAAGGGGAUAAUGUGUGGCUCAUUUGAGCAAAAAAAAAAGGUGGGGGGGAGAUGAAGCUGCACAGGCUUUAGGUCAUUAUUCUUUCAUACAGAACAAAAGGAGACUUAACUGUUGGAAAAAUACUCACCUGUCCAGCAGGCUAAACAGAAGAAAGAAAGGAAAAUAUUAUUUCAAGCAAUGCGAUAUUAAAAAUUCUUAGAGAGGAGAUACUCUUAUAAGAUGCUCUUAUUAAUAAUUAUUGGUAUCCUAUAAUUGCCUCAGCAAGGAACAAUGUGUAAAAAAGGAAGCUGGUCAUCUUGGUAGUGUUAUCUCUUUUGUGUAAAUGUUUGAAUUUUUCACAUCAGUACACCAUCACACUGGGUUUGAUCACAUUGCCUCAACCACUUGCUAGCACUCUCAUAUGUAAACAGCCAUACUUUUCAUAUUUUUGACCAAAGAGAUAAUGUGCUCUUGGUGUAUGUACAUUACCAGAAGCUUAGAAGUGAUUAGAUAAUCACUUCUAAGUGGAAAAAAUAGUAUACAAUUAACAUACUGUAGUUUCUAAACUAGUCAAAGAAACAUAAUCUAACAUGACCUUUUAGUGGUGCAUAAUUUUUUUUUUCCUGGUGUCCUCAGUUAGGGGGUUGUGAUGUAGCUUUGGUUACAUAACCUAUGCUUGUUCUAUUAUGUUUUUAUGCUAUUAUAAUCCCAUAUAACAACAUGAUUUGAGUCUUAACCAAACAUGUAACCAUUUUUAAUGGGAAGCAGUAUACAUAUAUUUUAAAUAAACAAAAUUCAAUUAACAGCC